rnacentral:rRNA from 1 species
CUACGGGCCGCAGCAGUGAGGAAUAUUGCACAAUGGAGGAAACUCUGAUGCAGCAACGCCGCGUGGAGGAUGACGCAUUUCGGUGUGUAAACUCCUUUUAUGAGUCAAGAAAAUGACGGUAGCUCAUGAAUAAGCACCGGCUAACUCCGUGCCAGCAGCCGCGGUAAUACGGAGGGUGCAAGCGUUACUCGGAAUCACUGGGCGUAAAGGACGCGUAGGCGGGAUAUCAAGUCAGGUGUGAAAUCCUACAGCUUAACUGUAGAACUGCACUUGAAACUGGUAACCUAGAGUAUGGGAGGGGAAGAUGGAAUUAGUGGUGUAGGGGUAAAAUCCGUAGAUAUCACUAGGAAUACCUAAAGCGAAGGCGAUCUCCUGGAACAUAACUGACGCUAAGGCGUGAAAGCGUGGGGAGCAAACAGGAUUAGAUACCCUAGUAGUC